rnacentral:lncRNA from 1 species
AUCCCGCGACCUGCAGGUCAGCAGCCGAGUACCUUAGCCACUAGACCUCCAGGCAUUUUGGUUCUGUACCGCAUUCUGGGAAGGUUGAUUUUGAGAGCUUACCGUGGAAAUGUUGCCCUUAUGCAUCUUUUUCUUACUUAGCCUUGUCAUUCUUCGUGUUUCUGUUUUUGUAUUGUACUUUUUAGAUCAGCAAGAUAUAAACAGUAACAUUGACCAGUCAACAUUUUUGUGUCUUCAUUAAUUGGCACUGACUGAUCUCUGCGAAACAUGACACCAUUUUUUUUUAUAUUGAUGAAUUUAAAUUUUAUUGUUUUUAAGUUUGUAUAUUGCCAGGUGCACUUGUGUUCAUAAUGUGAAUACGUUGAUGGCCAAUUCGCAUGUGAUGCUGCAAACUCAUCUAUGCAUUGUUGAGUGUCAAACACUAAAGGAGCUUUGAUAAUUUAGGCAUGUCGUGAGGGCUUUCCGAAUGUGCCUUCAAUGUUUUGCCAUGAUAUUCAUUUUGUAUAAUUAGUUGAAUUCAAGAGCAAAGUUGAAUAUCUAUUCAUGUGUGAGUGAAUAGUUACUUAUAGCAAUCCAAUUUGUUAUCAUUCUAUCAUUGAAGCAGUGUGUGAACAUCAAUGGGAUAUGUGUGAGCUCUGCUGAUACAUAUGUGUUGCAAUAAUUGUUCGUGUUGUACAGAAAAGUGUGCCUUUAUUUUUCUCCUCCAAAAGAACUGGUGCUAUUUUGAAAUGUGUAAAUUUCUAUUUUGUCAUAUUUUCCAGCAUGUUUUAAUUUGAUAUUUCUCUCUUGCAUUUCACCUUGCAUGCUUCAUGUGUUGAAAAAUUAAACAGUGCUUUUUCUGUCCUGAAUUCUAUAGAGACUUGUGUGAGAAGAAUCAGUACAAUAUGCAAUUGUAGAGGCACAUGUCUGCGAAAAAAUUCAGGUUGUAAUUGUAGUAUCAGAUAAGCGUCCAUAUCAGGCCUCUGUGUGUUGGCAGAACGUGCUUGAAUGUUUUAAACAUUGCAUUUAUGUAGAGAGGGUUGGGAGUUUGUGUGAAACCUGUGCUGUAGCACUGGACUGCAGGGACACUUCUUUGACUACCUGGUGCUGCAGUCCAGUUUUAUGUACUGUUUGACACUUCAUUUGCAUUGCAUGCAUGUCUUCCUUUGACUUUGCAGCUUCCUUCUCAUCGGAGUAUCCAGAGCAGUACGAUUCACUCGUGAUUGUAGAAAGCGGGCGAAAUUUUUGUCGGCAGUGCCUCUACAUGACAAAGAAAAGAAUGAAAAUGGAAGGCCACCUUCGCAGACAUGCAAUUAACAAGCCCCUCUACCAUUGCCAGCUAUGUCCAGCUGCGAUCAUCGAAAACCGCAUUCUCAUGCAACACAUACGCAGACACACUGGAGAGCGUCCCUUUUCCUGUGUCCACUGCUGUGCAUCCUUUUUGCAGAAAGUGAACCUGACCCACCACUUGCGCACCCACACAGGAGAGUGACCGUACCCUUGUGACCACUGUGAUAAAUCGUUUUCACAGAAAACCUCCCGGACGCAGCAUUUGCGCAUUCACACAGGAGAGCGCCCCUUUUCGUGUGACCACUGCAGUGCGACGUUCACGAAGCAAAACAACCUGACGGAGCACUUGCGCACCCACACAGGAGAGCGUCCCUUUUCCUGUGACCACUGCAAUGCAACCUUUGUGCAUAAAAACAGCCUGACGCAUCACCUGAACACUCACACAGGGGAGCGUCCCUUUACCUGCGACCACUGCGAUGCAUCUUUUUCGUAUCGAAGCACCCUCAUCCAACACUUGCGCACCCACACAAGAGAGCAUCCUUUUCGCUGUGUCCUCUGCAGUGCAUCCUUUUUGCAGAAAGCGAAGCUCACCAAUCACAUCACCUGUCUCCAUUCAUAGAAGAAGUUCUAAAGGUCGGACGUGCCUGCACUCAUGGGUGCGCACUCCAGACUGACAUUGCUGAUGCCGCGAGUGGUGCGGCUGGUGAGUCUGCUGAAGAGCUUUCCGACUGCUUGACCAAGCUGGACCAGACCAGGCAAACUGUAACACUGCAGAAAGCGAUGACAUGUUCUUUGUUGAUGCACUGAACAAGAACAGCACCAAGACCUACACCUGGACCUCUGUUGGCGCAGAGGAACCGAAGUGUUGGAGAAUUGGCCGCGACAUCAGCAUAAAGUUAAGUUGUUGAAAGAAAGCAGUACACUCUGGUGUCUACUGGAAUUGGGGGUUAUUGUGGAGGAGUCUUUUUAACCGUCAUUCUUCUCCUUCUUCAACCUCCGUUGCUGCUGUCACUGCUCCUCCUUCACUAUGGGCUAGACUUGCUAACAAUAUAAUCGUAUUUGCACUAUAUGUGCUGCUGCAUAGCACGACCACACAUGAGCAGUCUAUAUUUGCCGCCAUACUUUCUACAACAUUGAAGCAAACAAUUUUGUACUGCACGGUAGCACUUGUAACUUCUUUAAAUGUGAGUGUAGUCAGGUAGAACUUGAAAGGUUUGGAGCAUCUAGGCAACCAAAGUGCAGCAGCCGAUCACCUUCGCGACUCAAUAAUGCUUUUUGAAAGCAGUGGUACUAGCCAUCUCUCUUGGAAAUUCAAUCUGAAGUGCAUGUCUAUUGGUGAGUGUUUGUGUGUACCUGCCUUUUCAGGAGGCCAUGCCAUGACCUUCCUAAGUUGUAUCUGGCUAUAGGUGCCUCUAAUGGGUUGCGAAAAAGUAAUCACUUGAUUACAAAACUAACUAGAGAUGUUACUAAUUGCAAGUAAAUUUUUACAUGCAAGCCUGGUUCAUGCAAAGGGUAAAUGUUUCUUGAUGUUUGCUCAGAUUUGGGUGCACGUUAAAGAACCCCAAGUGGUU